AUUGAACGCUGGCGGCAUGCCUUACACAUGCAAGUCGAACGGCAGCACGGGUGCUUGCACCUGGUGGCGAGUGGCGCACGGGUGAGUAAUACAUCGGGACAUGUCCUGUAGUGGGGGAUCGCCCGGCGAAAGCCGGAUUAAUACCGCAUACGAUCUCCGGAUGAAAGCGGGGGACCUUCGGGCCUCGCGCUAUAGGGUUGGCCGAUGGCUGAUUAGCUAGUUGGUGGGGUAAAGGCCUACCAAGGCGACGAUCAGUAGCUGGUCUGAGAGGACGACCAGCCACACUGGGAGUGAGACACGGCACAGACUCCGACGGGAGGCAGCAGUGGGGAAUUUUGGACAAGGGGCGAAAGCCUGAUCCAGCAAUGCCGCGUGUGUGAAGAAGGACUUCGGGUUGUAAAGCACUUUUGUCCGGAAAGAAAUCCUUGGCUCUAAUACAGUCGGGGGAUGACGGUACCGGAAGAAUAAGCACCGGCUAACUACGUG
rnacentral:rRNA from 1 species